GGAUGAUAGUGAAAGAGCUGGCAGUGUUAAACACACAGAUUUUCAUGAUGGAGCAGCCUAUUUUCAUCUGUUUCACUCCUGUAGGGAGGUUGGUGUGGGAGGAACUGUCUUCUCAAACUGAACAGUAUGUGGAUGAGGAGGUUCAGCAGCAGCCCGGUCUGACUUUAAUCUCUUGGUCUGGACCUCAGUGGGUUUCAAGCGCCCCUGUCAAACUGCAGCCAACAUAUUACUUUACCCAUGCUGGGAACACGCUGGUGAGAGAGCUGUCAGUAUUAAAUACACAGAUUUUCAUGAUGGAGCAGCCAAUUUUCAUAUGUUUCACUCCUGUAGGGAGGUUGGUGUGGGAGGAACUGACUUCUCAAACUGAACAGUAUGUGGAUGAGGAGGUUCAGCAGCAGCCCGGUCUGACUUUAAUCUCUUGGUCUGGACCUCAGUGGGUUUCAAGCGCCCCUGUCAAACUGCAGCCAACAUAUUACUUUACCCAUGCUGGGAACACGCUGGUGAGAGAGCUGUCAGUAUUAAAUACACAGGUAACCAUGCCGAAAAUUAACCAAUGCUCAUGUGAUCUAAUAGGGAUAAUUACCUUCAGUAUCCACUAUGGUAGAUUAAUACUUUGACGUCUUUAAAGCUGUUUCUUAUUUUCU
ensembl:lncRNA